GAAGAUGGAAUUCCAGGUGUAGCGGUAAAAUGCGCAGAUAUCUGGAGGAACACCAGUGGCGAAAGCGGUCUUCUAGACCAAUACUGACACUCAGACGCGAAAGCUAGGGUAGCAAACGGGAUUAGAGACCCCGGUAGUCCUAGCCCUAAACGAUGUAGACUAGGCGUUGGUGGCUUAAUCGCCAUCAGUGUCCAAGCUAACGCGAUAAGUCUACCGCCUGGGGACUACGGCCGCAAGGUUAAAACUCAAAGGAAUUGACGGGUCCCCGCACAAGCAGCGGAGCGUGUGGUUUAAUUCGUUGCUACACGAAGAACCUUACCUGGGUUUGACAUAGCAGUGGUAGGGAAGCGAAAGCGGACCGACCCUUCGGGGAGCUGUUACAGGUGUUGCAUGGCUGUCGUCAGCUCGUGUCGUGAGAUGUUCGGUUAAGUCCGCUAACGAGCGCAACCCGCGUGGUGUGUUACAAGUGUCACACCAUACUGCCGAUAUUAAGUCGGAGGAAGGUGCGGAUGACGUCAAGUCAGCAUGACCUUUAUAUCCAGGGCUACACACACGCUACAAUGGUAGGUACAACAGGUUGCCAAGCCGCGAGGCGGAUCCAAUCCUAUAAAGCCUACCUCAGUUCAGAUUGCAGGCUGCAACUCGCCUGCAUGAAGUUGG
rnacentral:rRNA from 1 species